rnacentral:lncRNA from 1 species
UUCGUCUUCAUCUUCUCCAUCUCAAGGUUUAAUGGUUCCACUUCCACCAUAUUAACAGGAACACUGGAAAUUUAGGAUUUAAUCCUUUUAGGCACCAUUUACAAUGGAAGCAGAAGCAUGUACAAGAUUCCUUUAAAAUUUAGGGUUUAAUCCUUUUAGAUUAAAGUAAUAAAAAAUUUAAUUCCAUGGUUGUAGUACUGAUUAUGUGUUUCUUUGAU